rnacentral:rRNA from 1 species
GUUCUCAGUUCGGACUGCAGUCUGCAACUCGACUGCACGAAGCUGGAAUCGCUAGUAAUCGCGGAUCAGCACGCCGCGGUGAAUACGUUCCCGGGCCUUGUACACACCGCCCGUCACACCAUGGAAGUCUGCAAUGCCCGAAGUCAGUGGCCCAACCGCAAGGAGGGAGCUGCCGAAGGCAGGUCCGGUGACUGGGGUGAAGUCGUAACAAGGUACC